rnacentral:ncRNA from 1 species
UUCUUCGGGGCGGGGUGCAAUUCCCCACCGGCGGUAUAGUCCGCGAGCCUCAGGGCUGAUUUGGUGCGAUUCCAAAACCGACAGUAUAGUCUGGAUGAGAGAAGAA